AUGGAUCCGAUCAACGAGCCCCUUCUCUCUUUUCCACCACAAAGAAACUGUUCCCUGAGCAAAGUUCUCUUGGUCACACCGAUCUUUCUGGCUACUCUGCUUUGCUUUUGCUUCGCCGCCUUCCUCGUCCUCAGCCCUGCCACGGUCACGGUGGACCUCUGCACGAACUCCCCGGACCCGGCCUCGUGCCACGCCAUCGUCGCCGACGCCGUCCUGACGUCUCCGGACGCCCACCCGAGCCGACCGGCGCAAGUGCUUCCCGCAAUAAUCGACAGGUCCCUCCACCAGCAUGACGCGGCCGCCGUUGCGGUGGCCGCCAUGCACUGGCGCGCCAGCGACCCCAGGCAGCGCGCGGCGCUCGCCGACUGUGUCCAGCUAAUGGAGCUCGCGCGCGACCGUCUCGCCGGCGCGGUGGACCACGCCUCGGUGGCGCCCGAAGACGCGCGCACGUGGCUCAGCGCGGUGCUCACCGACUACGUGACGUGCCUAGACGGCCUCGACGACGGGCCACCGCGCGACGCCGUGGGGGCGCAGCUGGAGCCACUCAUGUCCCUCGCGAGCGCGUCGCUCGCCGUACUCAACGCCGUGGAUUCUGACACGGCUGCCGACGACAUGCUCGCCGAGGCAGUAGACGAGCUUCCAUCGUGGGUGCCGAGUGCAGACCGUGCGCUCCUAGAAGGAUCCCGCGCCGUUCAGGCGGACGUGGUGGUGGCCAAGGACGGGAGUGGCAAGUACAAUACGGUGCAGGCGGCGGUGGACGCGGCCCCGGACCGCGGCAAGCGCCGGUACGUGAUCUACGUGAAGAAGGGGGUGUACAAGGAGAACCUGGCGGUGUGGAAGAAGAAGCGCGAGCUGAUGAUCGUCGGGGACGGCAUGGACGCGACGGUGAUCACCGGCAGCCGCAACGUGGUCGACGGCGCCACCACUUUCAACUCGGCCACUCUAGCCGUGGCAGCCGACGGAGUCAUCCUACAGGACCUCAGGAUCGAGAACACGGCGGGGCCCGAGAAGCACCAGGCGGUGGCCCUGCGCGUGAGCGCCGACCGCGCCGUCAUCAACCGCUGCCGCGUCGACGGCUACCAGGACACCCUCUACGCGCACCAGCUGCGGCAGUUCUACCGCGACUGCUUCGUCUCCGGCACCGUCGACUUCGUCUUCGGCAACGCGGCGGCCGUGCUCCAGAACUGCGUGAUCACCGCGCGCCGGCCCGCGCGCGGGCAGAAGAAUGCGGUCACCGCGCAGGGCAGGACGGACCCGAACCAGAACACCGGCACGUCCCUGCAGCGGUGCCGCGUCGUGCCGGCGGACGACCUGGCGCCCGUGGCCGAGGCGUUCCCGACGUUCCUGGGCCGGCCGUGGAAGGCCUACUCGCGCACGGUGUACAUGCAGUCGUACCUGGGCGCGCACGUCCACCCGAGGGGGUGGCUGGAGUGGAACGGGGACUUCGCGCUCAACACGCUCUUCUACGGGGAGUACGCGAACGAGGGGCCCGGGGCCGGCACGGCCGGGCGCGUCAAGUGGCCGGGGUACCGCGUCAUCACGGACGGGAGCGUGGCCGAGCAGUUCACCGUGGGGCAGUUCAUCCAGGGCGGCUACUGGCUCAAGGGCACAGGUGUGGCGUACGAUGAUGGGCUCUGA
rnacentral:rRNA from 1 species